GCAGUCGUGGCCGAGUGGUUUAAGGCGUCUGACUUGAAAUCAGAUUCCCUCUGGGAGCGUAGGUUCGAGUCCUGCCGACUGCG
rnacentral:tRNA from 1 species